rnacentral:rRNA from 1 species
AGUGAACGCUGGCGGUAGGCCUAACACAUGCAAGUCGAACGGCAGCACAGUAAGAGCUUGCUCUUACGGGUGGCGAGUGGCGGACGUGUGAGGAAUACAUCGGAAUCUACUUUUUCGUGGGGGAUAACGUAGGGAAACUUACUCUAAUACCGCAUACGACCUACGGGUGAAAGCAGUGGAUCUUCGGACCUUGCGCGAUUGAAUGAGCCGAUGUCGGAUUAGAUAGUUGGCGGGGUAAAGGCCCACCAAGGCGACGAUCCGUAGCUGGUCUGAGAGGAUGAUCGGCCACACUGGAACUGGGACAGCGUCCAGACGCCUACGGGAGGCAGCAGUGGGGAAUAUUGGACAAUGGGCGCAAGCCUGAUCCAGCCAUACCGCGUGGGUGAAGAAGGCCUUCGGGUUGUAAAGACCUUUUGUUGGGAAAGAAAAGCAGCAGGUUAAUACCACGCUGUUCUGACGGUACCCAAAGAAUAAGCACCGGCUAACUUCGUG